rnacentral:rRNA from 1 species
GACGAGGGACCUAGCGUUGUUCGGAAUCAUUGGGCGUAAAGCGGAUGUAGGUGGCUUUGUAAGUCAGAUGUGAAAGCCCAGGGCUCAACCCCUGGAAGUGCAUUUGAUACUGCGAAGCUUGAGUGCCGGAGAGGUUACUAGAAUUCCUGGUGUAGUGGUGAAAUACGUAGAUAUCAGGAGGAAUACCGGAGGCGAAGGCG